UUGACCUCGGAUCAGGUAGGGAUACCCGCUGAACUUAAGCAUAUCAAUAAGCGGAGGAAAAGAAACCAACAGGGAUUGCCUCAGUAACGGCGAGUGAAGCGGCAACAGCUCAAAUUUGAAAUCUGGCUCUCGGGUCCGAAUUGUAAUUUGUAGAAGAUGCUUCGAGUGUUAGCCUGGUCUAAGUUCCUUGGAACAGGACGUCAUAGAGGGUGAGAAUCCUGUAUGUGACUAGUGCUCUCGCUCAUGUGAAGCUCUUUCGACGAGUCGAGUUGUUUGGGAAUGCAGCUCAAAAUGGGCGGUAAAUUUCAUCUAAAGCUAAAUAUUGGCCAGAGACCGAUAGCGCACAAGUAGAGUGAUCGAAAGAUGAAAAGCACUUUGGAAAGAGAGUUAAACAGUACGUGAAAUUGUUGAAAGGGAAGCGCUUGCAACUAGACUUGCAUGCCGUCGAUCAUCCGAGGUUUUCCCCGGUGCACUCGGCGGUGUUCAGGCCAGCAUCGGUUUGGGUGGUUGGAUAAAGGCCUUGGGAAUGUAGCUUCUUUCGGGGAGUGUUAUAGCCCUCGGUGCAAUGCAGCCUACCCGGACCGAGGACCGCGCUUCGGCUAGGAUGCUGGCGUAAUGGUUGUAAGCGACCCGUCUUGAAACACGGACCAAGGAGUCUAACAUCUAUGCGAGUGUUUGGGUGUCAAACCCAUACGCGUAAUAAAAGUGAACGGAGGUGAGAACCCUUAAGGGUGCAUCAUCGACCGAUCCUGAUGUCUUCGGAUGGAUUUGAGUAAGAGCAUAGCUGUUGGGACCCGAAAGAUGGUGAACUAUGCCUGAAUAGGGUGAAGCCAGAGGAAACUCUGGUGGAGGCUCGCAGCGGUUCUGACGUGCAAAUCGAUCGUCAAAUUUGGGUAUAGGGGCGAAAGACUAAUCGAACCCAGUG
rnacentral:rRNA from 1 species